CACCACUCCCUCAAGGAACGGCGCGGUGCCGGUGCCCGCUGGUGAGGCCACAGGCCCGGUGUGUCCCGGUGUCCCCUGAUGACCCUGACUGGCCGUGCCCCUGAAAUCCAGUGGCAGCCACCGCUGUGUCCCAAGAGCUCUGUGCCGUGCCACACCACUCUGUGCCGUGUCACACCGCACUGUGCCAAACUGUGC